UUAGCUUUGUGUUUAGCUUGCUGUUGAAGGAUGUGAGCUCCCAACAUAGAAUUAAUCGUGAGCAAGUCUCAGACUUCUUAGAUGUGAAUGGAAGGCUGUCAGGUCUUCUUUUAAGCUAACCAGGUUUAAGCAGCUAAGUUGUAUUACGGUCUUUCCAGACUGAAUCUGAGCUCUUUGGGUGGAUAAUUCGUGUCAGAUUGGCCAAACCAGUGAGGAUUAAGGAAAGCUCAUCCAGACCAGAUGGUGACUGGCUGAAGAAGUUUUCCAGUAGGACCCUUGGAGAGACUAAAGAAGAGGAAGGGUUGGAGCCUUCCAAGGUGGAAGCCCAGGAGGGAACGCCCUCUGCAAAGAAGGCCCGGUCAAAUCCCCAGGUGUACAUGGACGUCAGGAUUGGGAACAAGCCUGAUGGCCACAACCACAUACCCCUGCAUUCCAGUGCGUUCCCAGGACCACAGGCCUGCUUUCCAUGGCCAACUCUGGACCAAACACCAAUGGCUCCCAGUUCUUCCUGACAUGUGACAAGACGGAUUGGCUGGAUGGCAAGCACGUGGUGUCACGGAAGGCCUGGAUGUCUUGCGGCAGAUUGAGGCCGAAGGUAGCAAGGACAGGAAGCCAAAGCAGAAGGUGAUCAUUGCUGACUGUGGGGAGUACAUGUGAGAUGGGGCCUUUUCUGCUCUGUCCCCACGUGUCCAGGAGCUGUCAGCCCCGGGAACUGUACCUGAGGGUGUCCUGUUUGCAGCAAGCAGGAGUUUGUGUCGUAGCCCUUCUCGGGAUCACCUUGGAGCAGCUCCUCUGUGGGAGUGGCCUGGGAUCCCUCUGGCUCUUUCCCAGUGUGACCAUGGGCCUGGGAGCUGGUACAGGCCCCACUGCCCUACCGUGGACAGGCUGUGCAUGACCUUUUCCAGGCCUUUGCUGCCAGGACCUCUCUUGGGCCCACCAGUGUGGCUCUGGAUGUUUCUUCUGGUAAAAUAAACCCUCAUUCUUGUAGUGCUGCCUGCCCU